rnacentral:sRNA from 1 species
GGAACGGGCCUUUCAGGCAUCCUCUCCUAAAAACUUCACAAGCCGUCCUUCGGGGCGGCUUUUUUUUUGCCUUGG